GAUGAAGAACGUAGCGAAAUGCGAUAAGUAAUGUGAAUUGCAGAAUUCAGUGAAUCAUCGAAUCUUUGAACGCAACUUGCGCCCUCUGGUAUUCCGGAGGGCAUGCCUGUUUGAGUGUCAUGUAGACUCAAUCCCUCGGGUUUCUGAGGAGGUUGGAUUUGGGUGCUUGCCUUCUGGCUUGCCUUAAAGGACUUAGCAGGAUAGCACUGUAGUCGACGUAAUAAGUCUCGUCGGUGAAAGUGUGAUGUCUGCUUACAGAUUGCCCUUGGGCACUUUUGACUCUGACCUCAAAUCAGGUAGGACUACCCGCUGAACUUAAGCAUAUCAAUAAGCGGAGGA
rnacentral:misc_RNA from 1 species